rnacentral:rRNA from 1 species
CAAGAGCGUAUGUACAAGUUGUUGCAGUUAAAAAGCUCGUAGUUGAACCUUGGGUUUGGUUGGCCGGUCCGCUUUUUUGCGAGUACUGGAUUCAACCGAGCCUUUCCUUCUGGCUAACCAGUCGUUUCGGCGGCUGGCGAACCAGGAUUUUUACUUUGAGAAAAUUAGAGUGUUCAAAGCAGGCAUUAGCUUGAAUAUAUUAGCAUGGAAUAAUAGAAUAGGACGUUAUGGUUCUAUUUUGUUGGUUUCUAGGACCAUCGUAAUGAUUAAUAGGGACGGUCGGGGGCAUCAGUAUUCAGUUGUCAGAGGUGAAAUUCUUGGAUUUACUGAAGACUAACUACUGCGAAAGCAUUUGCCAAGGACGUUUUCAUUAA